UGCAUUGGCCGAGAAUCGAACUCGGGGCGCCCUCGUGGCAGGCGAGCAUUCUACCACUGAACCAAAAGC
rnacentral:tRNA from 1 species